AACGAACGCUGGCGGCAGGCCUAACACAUGCAAGUCGAAGGAGAAGCCAUCUUCGGAUGGUGGAAACUGGCGCACGGGUGAGUAACGCGUGGGAAUAUACCCUUUGGUACGGAAUAGCCUCUGGAAACGGAGAGUAAUACCGUAUGAGCCCUUCGGGGGAAAGAUUUAUCGCCAUUGGAUGAGCCCGCGUUGGAUUAGCUUGUUGGUGGGGUAACGGCCCACCAAGGCGACGAUCCAUAGCUGGUCUGAGAGGAUGAUCAGCCACACUGGGACUGAGACACGGCCCAGACUCCUACGGGAGGCAGCAGUGGGGAAUAUUGGACAAUGGGGGCAACCCUGAUCCAGCCAUGCCGACGUGAGUGACGAAGGUCUUCGGAUUGUAAAGCUCUUUUGGCGGGGACGAUAAUGACGGUACCCGCAGAAUAAGCCCCGGCUAACUUCGUG
rnacentral:rRNA from 1 species